GGCCUUGUGGCGCAACGGUAGCGCGUCUGACUCCAGAUCAGCAGGUUGCGUGUUCAAAUCACGUCAGGGUCA
rnacentral:tRNA from 1 species